rnacentral:rRNA from 1 species
AUUGAACGCUGGCGGCAGGCCUAACACAUGCAAGUCGAGCGGAUGAGGGAAGCUUGCUUCCUGAUUUAGCGGCGGACGGGUGAGUAAUGCCUAGGAAUCUGCCUAUUAGUGGGGGAUAACGUUCCGAAAGGAACGCUAAUACCGCAUACGUCCUACGGGAGAAAGUGGGGGAUCUUCGGACCUCACGCUAAUAGAUGAGCCGAGGUCGGAUUAGCUAGUUGGUGGGGUAACGGCUCACCAAGGCGACGAUCCGUAGCUGGUCUGAGAGGAUGAGCAGACACACUGGAACUGAGACACGGUCCAGACUCCUACGGGAGGCAGCAGUGGGGAAUAUUGGACAAUGGGCGAAAGCCUGAUCCAGCCAUGCCGCGUGUGUGAAGAAGGUCUUCGGAUUGUAAAGCACUUUAAGUUGGGAGGAAGGGUUGUAAGCUAAUAUCUUGCAGCUUUGACGUUACCAACAGAAUAAGCACCGGCUAACUCUGUGCCAGCCGCCGCGGUAACAC